CAUUCAUUUAUUUUUCAUUCAUCAAAUAUUCACUGAGUAUUGACUUUACCAAGCAAUAGAGAUGUGGAGAAGACAGGCAUUAACCAAAAGCACACAAGCAAAUAUCUAAUUACCAAUUAGGACUGUGUUAUGAUGGGAAAAAAAACGAGAUCCCAGGGGAGACAAUGGGGAGGGGUGUAUAAAGUGCGCUGGGGGAAGGGUUAGGAAGGAAUUUCUGAGGAAGUGCUAUUUAAGGAGAAACCCACAAGAAUAGUUAAGAGCAAAUGGAAUCUUUCAAUAGAAUUUUGAGUGAGUCAUGGGAUCUUGGAACCCCAGGACGAGGCUCUCACUGUUACAGAAUCCUAAUCUCAUAGAAGCUUGAAACAAACACUCACAGACUCUUCGACAGUAAAUGGAAUCUUCGAAUGGUAGAGGCUCAGAGGCUUCACAUGCAAGGACAAAGAGAAUCUUACCAGAUCAUUUAGUCCCAUCCCCGUCUCUCUACUAUUGUACAGAUAGGGGUUAAGGUAAACUCUUGGCUUGACUUUGCUGGGAAGAGGAGCUGCCUGGAAGGUCAGGAGCACACUCUCACGUUCAAAGAAGCCUUCUGAAGACCCAAAUGUGCCGUUAAACCCAAAAGAAGUGAGUUUGUUUAAGGGAUCCAGGACACAGGAUGGGGUCAGGAAACCUGAGUUCCAGUCUGAGUGCAGGCACUAAACAGCCGUGGUACGCAGGCCACGUCAUGGAGCCUCUGUGGGUCCCAGUUCCACGUCUUGUAGGUGGGAUGACAGUGUCCAGCUCAGCUGUGAAGAGAUAAUGCGUGCAAACAUGUUUUGCAAUUUACGAAACACGUGUGAUGGUUCUAAGGUUCAAUGGUUUCUUUUCGACCUUGUGAGAUUGUGGGUUGAUUUCCUCUCACUGGAGGGCAAUUUGGCAAUAUUUAUCAAAAGACUUAAAAACCACACAUUACUAUUUUAUGUGGAAUUCAAGUUUUAGAAAACAAUCUCAAAGCUAUGCUGAAAAAAUCAGAAACAAUCUAAAUGUCCAACAAUAGGCAAUUAGAUAAGUAAGUUAUACUAUUACUAUAUAGGAGAAUUUGAUAGUUAUCUUAAAUGUUUUGAAGAAGAAUAUUUAAUCACAUGAAAAGAUGUUCACAAUAAAUUAAGGUUUAUAAAAGAGAAAAUAAUUUUGCAAUAAGUUCCAAUUUUUUUGCAAAGAAAAAUGUAAGUGUGUGGCACAUAAGUGUUCCAUAAAUGUUGCUAUUAUUAUUAUUAUCGUUGUUGUGUCAUAUAAUAAAAGAAUGACGAGUUAAUAUAGUGUUAAUGUAGUCUAUCUCUGGAUUGUAGGAUUAUGGCUUUAAAUUUUUUUCAUCUUUUGAGUAUCUAUAAUAAAC
rnacentral:lncRNA from 1 species